rnacentral:rRNA from 1 species
UGAGUAACGGCGAGCGAAAGGGAAGAGCCCAGCGCCGAAGCCCGCUCUCGAGAGGGAGCCGGGCAAUGUGGCGUUUAGGAGUGAGCGUGCCGGCGGUUGACUCUGCAGCAAGUCCCCCUGACCGGGGCUGUUACCCAGAGUGGGUGCGAGGCCCAUAGCUGCUAGGUCUCCGUCGGAUGCGAUCUCCUUGGAGUCGGGUUGCUUGGGAGUGCAGCCCUAAUCGGGUGGUAAACUCCACCUAAGGCUAAAUACGGCCGUGAGACCGAUAGCAAACAAGUACCGUGAGGGAAAGUUGCAAAGAACUUUGAAGAGAGAGUUCAAGAGUACGUGAAACUGCUCAGAGGCAAACGGGUGGGCCCUCGAAAUCCUGUGGCGGGAGGAUUCAGUUUUGCGGCGUGGACACUGCGUUGGAGAUUCCCAGAACGGUUCCGCGGAGGCGGCCGCUCCGAUGCAGUGCUUUCGCGUCGCCGAACGCAUUUGUUUCCCGCCCGAAGGACCCCGCAACCUGUUCGGAAACGGCCUUAAGGGUUGGUAAUGGCAGUUGGCCGGUGGCGUUCCUCGUGUUCGCCGUCGUCUGUUAGCCGUCCGACCGCACGGCUCGUGGCCGGACAGUGGUGUCGCGAGGCCCUCUUGGGCUUCUUCGCCUCCUCCGUUCGCGGACGCCGGGAUCCCGUGGCAGGGGUUCGCACUUCUGCGGGCGCACGGACCGACUCCGUGGCCCAGCGGUUGCAUGCGUCCUCGUUGGCAGCGGUUGAACCCGUCGGAGGUU